GCAGUAGCCGCGGUAAUACGAAGGGUGCAAGCGUUAAUCGGAAUUACUGGGCGUAAAGCGUGCGUAGGCGGUGAGUUAAGUCUGCUGUGAAAUCCCCGGGCUCAACCUGGGAAUGGCAGUGGAUACUGGCUCGCUAGAGUGUGUCAGAGGAUGGUGGAAUUCCCGGUGUAGCGGUGAAAUGCGUAGAGAUCGGGAGGAACAUCAGUGGCGAAGGCGGCCAUCUGGGACAACACUGACGCUGAGGCACGAAAGCGUGGGGAGCAAACAGGAUUAGAUACCCCUGUAGUCCCUGUCUCUUAUAC
rnacentral:rRNA from 1 species